CCUACGGGGUGCAGCAGUGAGGAAUAUUGGUCAAUGGGCGCGAGCCUGAACCAGCCAAGUAGCGUGCAGGAUUACUGCCCUACGGGUUGUAAACUUCUUUUAUAAAGGAAUAAAGUGAGGCACGUGUGCCUUUUUGUAUGUACUUUAUGAAUAAGGAUCGGCUAACUACGUGCCAGCAGCCGCGGUAAUACGGAGGAUCCGAGCGUUAUCCGGAUUUAUUGGGUUUAAAGGGAGCGUAGAUGGGUGGUUAAGUCAGUUGUGAACUUUUGCGGCUCAACCGUAAAAUUGCAAUUGAUACUGGCAGUUUUGAGUACAUUUGAGGUAGGCGGAAUUCGUGGUGUAGCGGUGAAAUGCUUAGAUAUCACGAAGAACCCCGAUUGCGAAGGCAGCUUACUAAACUGUGACUGACAUUGAUGCUCGAAAGUGUGGGUAUCAAACAGGAUUAGAUACCCUGGUAGUC
rnacentral:rRNA from 1 species